CCUACGGGGGGCAGCAGUAGGGAAUCUUCCACAAUGGGCGCAAGCCUGAUGGAGCAACACCGCGUGAGUGAAGAAGGGUUUCGGCUCGUAAAGCUCUGUUGUUAAAGAAGAACACGUAUGAGAGUAACUGUUCAUACGUUGACGGUAUUUAACCAGAAAGUCACGGCUAACUACGUGCCAGCAGCCGCGGUAAUACGUAGGUGGCAAGCGUUGUCCGGAUUUAUUGGGCGUAAAGCGAGCGCAGGCGGUUUUUUAAGUCU
rnacentral:rRNA from 1 species